GGUGGCUUAGUGGUAGAGUGUUUGCCUAGCAUGCAUGAAGCCCGGGGUUCGAUUCCUUGACACCA
rnacentral:tRNA from 1 species